CUCUCUCUCUCUCUUUCCCGUCUUUCUUCCUCUCCUCUCACCCAAAAAUUCAAGCUUUCCUCUCUUCAAGUUUCUUUUCUCUUCUUGAAUAUUAGGAACAUGGAUCAAAAUUUAUCAUAUUCAUCUUCAGAUGCUGCAAAUGAGGAAUUUUGGGAUCUUGCCAAUUCAUCAUCAGACGAAGAAUUGAUGAAUCUGGAGAUUGCUGCUCUACAAGAGAAGGGAAGAAGAAGACGCCGGGGCUCAAUUCCUGGUCGCAUAUAUAAAGAUACUGUGGAGGGAGAAGAAAUUGAAAACCUGCAUUGCAUAUUGGUUGAUGAACAGGGAGCUUUGGACGGUGGUUUGGAUAUUCCACACAGUGAUUAGAGGUUUGCUGGUUUCUCCAAGGACAACAAGCAGCUUGAUGCUGAGGUACAUCACAAGUAUAUCUACGGUGGCCAUGUUGCUGCAUGCAUGAGGACUGUGAUGGAGGAUGAACCAGAAAAGUAUCAGAGCCAUUUAAGUGAAUACAUUAAGAAAGGAAUAGUAGCAGAUAACAUUGAAGAGAUUUACAAGAAAGUGCAUGCAGCCAUCAAGGUCGACCCUGCAAUGAAGAAAUCUGAAAAGCCUCAACAUUCGGAACACAAGAGCAUAAUCUCAAUUGCAUCUCAAUUGAUUUACAAGAUAAAAAAAAUAAAUAAAAAAAAUAAAAAAACAAAAAAAAAACAACAUAAAUAUAAUUUUAUAUAUUAAAAUAGUAUUCAAAUUUGACAUAGCCUUUGGAGCUUAGGGAUGUCAAA